rnacentral:misc_RNA from 1 species
AACGCAUAUUGCGCUCUUUGGUAUUCCGAAGAGCAUGCUUGUUUGAGUAUCAGUAAACACCUCAACCUCUCUUUUUGACAAAAAAAAAGGGAGGGUGGACUUGAGCUAUCCCAACGACCUUCACCGGUAGGCGGGCGGCUUGAAAUGCAGGUGCAGCUGGACUUUUAUCUGAGCUAAAAGCAUAUCUAUUUAGUCCUCGUCAAACAGGAUUAUUACUUUUGCUGCAGCUAACAUAAAGGAUAAUUGUCCUCUUUGCUGACUGAUGCAGGAUUUUACGACACUUUAUGUGUUGUUCAACUCGAUCUCAAAUCAAGUAAGACUACCCGCUGAACUUAA